GAUGAAGAACGUAGCGAAAUGCGAUAAGUAAUGUGAAUUGCAGAAUUCAGUGAAUCAUCGAAUCUUUGAACGCACAUUGCGCCCAUUAGUAUUCUAGUGGGCAUGCCUGUUCGAGCGUCAUUAAGUCCACUUAAGCCCUGCUUAGUGUUGGGAGACUGCUCCAGCGGUGCUACCCUGUAGCUACGCUGCAGCUCCUCAAAGACAGCGGCGGAGUUGUGGUAUCCUCUGAGCUUAGUAACUUGUUCUAGCUUUCGAGUACACCACUUCCCCUGCCGUAAAACCCUUAAUUUUUAAUGGUUGACCUCGGAUCAGGUAGGAAUACCCGCUGAACUUAAGCAUAUCAAUAAGCGGAGGA
rnacentral:misc_RNA from 1 species